UACGUAGGGGGCGAGCGUUGUCCGGAUUUACUGGGCGUAAAGCGCGUGUAGGCGGCCCGUUAAGUGGGGUGUGAAAGCCCGGGGCUCAACCCCGGGACGCCGCUUCAAACUGGCGGGCUUGAGGACGGAAGAGGGGAGUGGAAUUCCUGGUGUAGCGGUGAAAUGCGUAGAGAUCAGGAGGAACACCCGUGGCGAAGGCGGCUCCCUGGUCCGUCCCUGACGCUGAGACGCGAAAGCGUGGGGAGCAACAGGGAUUAAGAA
rnacentral:rRNA from 1 species